UCUUUAAAAAUGCUACACGGAGAAAAAAGUAUUGCUAUUAUAGCGAUCCAGUCGAUCGUGAACGAAGUAUCGUGAUUAGCUCAAAACAGUAUUGUCAUAU